rnacentral:lncRNA from 1 species
AUACUAUUUGGUUCAACUUACCUCAUAAUGCAAUUUAUCUUUUUUCUCUCCAUACACAAGUUGAAUUUUAAUUUGAGACUUUGCACGGGGUAGUGGACAUCAUUAUCUAUAUUAAAAACUACUUUAUGGAUUUUUCAUCAUUAUUUUUUAUAUAAUUUUGUAUCUCAAGAAUAAUUUUAUUAUAUCCUACCCUAUAAAAAUAAUGAUAAAAAUUCAUGAUAUAUUUUUGUGACAUAUCUUAUGAUGUCUGCUAUCAUCAUGCACAAAUUGAACUUAAAACUCCACUUGUGCAUGAAAAAAAAAUUAUGUUAAAGAGUAAAUUGAACCAAAUGGUAUACUUUAAGAGUAAACUGAACCGACUUUCAGAGAGUUAUUGAGACUUUGGUUACAGGAGUAAUUCGGAUUUUUUUUAAAAAAAAUAUGCUGGCUAUCUCGUCUUCCUCCGUCGCUAGAGCGGAGGAGGUUUUUUCUUCUCUCCCUUCCACAUGAUCAGAAAUCCAACGAGCGAACCUGACGUGAGAAGGCCUACACGGGCCACAAGAAAUCCGGCCCACAUUAGACUUGGGAGGCCACCCCACCCCACCCCACCCCACUCCCCCUCCUCUUGAAGCCGUCGACGCCGCCGCCGCCGCCAUCGCCGCAGCCCUAGCGAUUUGGUAAAAAAAGGAGAAGAGACAUGGCGACCGCCGCUGAUCUAAGGCGUGUGUCGGAGGACGAGCUGCGGAAGUGCGAUUUGUUCCGGUGCUUUUGCUGUUGGCGCAGACGCUGCUCGCUCGGGAUCCCGCGCAUUGGCCCCCGUAGCGAGUAUUUGCCGGCCAACGCCGACAAGGGGCGGAUGUUAAGGCGGGGCUUGGAGGGCUCCGGCGCCCCCUACCAGCUGUAUCUCCCUUGGGGAGAAGAGGUGAAGGAGAAGGAGGAUGAAGGAAGACGAAGGGGGAGGACGGGAAGAAGAAGGACAGCUUUGGGGGGUGGUGGACAAGGAAGAAGAAGAGAGCGUCCCCUACCCACCGGCCUUGCGUCUGCCACUGCUGAGGGCAGCCCGCUUUGGUCGGUCCUCGUUGGCUGCUCCUCCUCCGACCAUCCGUCGCACGGUCUACGCAUACACUACUUCCGGGUCACCGGCUCCGGCCGCGUCAUCGGCCACAACAACGACCUGCUCGAGCUCUUCUGCGGUGUGUCCCCGAUCGAUGACAGGCACACGAUGUUCCCCGUCGCCAGGGCCGCGAUAGCGCCGGCCGACCGCCAUCUUUACAUCAUCUGCAAACAUCGCCCGGCAGCCGGAUCGAGCAGCACCAGCGGCCAACAAGCCCACGAGAAGGUCUUUCCUCCCAAAGCCUUCUCUUUGAACACCGCAGACAAGAGCCUGUCUACUCUGCCGCCGCUCCCGUUCACUCGUGGAUCAUGGGAAGCUAUCUCAGCGUGUGGCAAGCUCUGGGUGCCGGUCGUAUUGGUAAAGAGAGGCUCCUAUGGAGAGGCAUGGAGCCUCAUCGUUUACAAGCUGAUUGGGGACUGUUGGUCUGAAGUCAACAGUGUCGAGUUCCCUUACAAGCAUUCGUUGGAACGUGGGUACAGUGGCACCUUACUCCAGGGCUAUGUGGUUCUCCAUACAAACAUUCUAUUAUCAUUCAGUAACUCCAGCUUCUUCUUAUUCAAGUGCACCAGCGGCGACUUGUCCCGUGUUGACACUAAUGGCACAAGUCAAUAUAUUCCUAUCACUGGCAAAGCAGUAUAUGUCAAGCUCCAUGACAUGAUCUACUUCAUACGGGGAACCAAACUCUUUGCAUACAAGUACACUCCAAAGUGGGACAAGCUGCUUGCGGCUCCCAUAGAGAUCGGAAAUAUUUGGCCCUAUGACAAGGAAGGGUAUGGCUUCGUGGAGCACGUAGGCGGCCGUAUGUUGUGUGCUGUUUGGAUCAAUAUGCACCAGCUGUGUGGGUGUGCCACACGGCAUGCCCUGAUCACAACAUUCCGCGUCACAGGCGUCACUGAUGAAUUUGGCUGCUUCGUUCCCAAUGGUGUUGACAUCCUGCACUCCACCUGCCGCCAGAUAGACAUGCUCAAGAGCAAUGCAUCUGGAGACACAUGCUAUGACACCUUCUGUUUCUUGCAGUAAGCAAUCUCGAUUUGCUUUGCUCAAAUCAAUUCCUUGAUACUUAAUUCAUUGUUUUGUCAGUUUGUACAUCCAUCUGUUUUAGCACGUUAGCUAACCUUAGUUGCAUUACUACUUCAGUGGACACUACUGCAUUUCAGCAUUGCAACAAUUUCAAGGUUUUCUCUUAUGUUGCGUCUUAAGUUCGUUGGAGAUCACUCUACUGUUGGUUAACUAAAAAUAUCCUACUGGUGUGACAGGAAGUGUCAGGAUCGUGGAGCCAAGUUUCAUCCCUCGGAUCUUUCAGAGACAAGACAGUUCUACUGCCCCCAAGUUGAAAAAUUCUCAGAAAUGCUUACUUGCUGCAGGUUUGAUUUCGUUUUAGUAACCAAAUUUCUCUUUAUUUGUUAUUUUAAAUUUCACUAAUUGGUUCUUAUCAAGCAGUUCGAUUAUAGGUUAUUGUUUAGUCAUUUGAUAGUGCUCCAAGUUCAUUUUGUUGAUUUCAGCCCUCUACUUGACUUGUGUAGCUAAUCCUGCUCAUUAAUAAUUUAGGUACAUUUACAUUUCACUAUAAAAUACAAAAAACUGCUUUAGAAAAAUGUGGAUUGGACCUGGCACCACAACUAUGAUUGAUAUUGGGGGCACUUGUGAUAGAAAAAUUUGAUAUAUGUAUGUAGGGAAAAUUACUUCAGACUCAAAGUGGAUAAAUGAGUAGCAGACAUACUAAAGGUGGGAGCAGCUACACAUGGUAGUGGAAUGUAUUGUGUUUGUUUCUUAUCACUAAAAUGCCUCAGAGCUUUUGCGAUUAAGUUCGCCGUUGUCAUCUCGGAAAAGUUUGUAGUCUGCUGUUCCGGUAGCCUUUCUCACUUAACCAUCCAUAAAUGAGUAACAUAAAUCAGGAAUUGUCUAGUACAUGUUUAUGGUUGACAUGAAGUUCUGGUCUGGAAUAUGCAUACAUGAUAUUAUCUGAGGCUUGGGAACUAAAUUUGGCAAUCAGGUAUGAGAUGGGCUGAAGUCAACAAAAGCAAACUUGAGGUUUUGAUUGUGUAAGGUUGAACAAUAAAACUGAUCAACUGAGAUCAACAAAGUUAUAGUGGUUUGCUUCAUAAAACAUAGUUGUGCAAGGGUCUUAUUGUAACUUUCCCUUUGAAUAAAUUAGUUACUGAACUGCAACUGAGAGUCAUUUUUUAUGCUGAACAGUUACAACUUUUAACUGCAGGGAGUUUCUAAAUGGAAAGCCUGAGCCUGCUCCAGGUGUAGUAGCCCUUGACUUCUGCAAAAUGGCCACCAGAUCAGAUUUCUAUUUUAUCUGUCAGGCGGAUCAGUGCUCCCUUUUGUAUCAAAUAUCUACUUCAGGAGGAAAGUUGACAUGUGGUGAUGAGGCCCUGGAGGCAGUACUGCGUCUAGACACAGUUAGAUUUGGAGAUAUUGAAAUAGAUGACCUUUCAGCAUGGUAUUUUGUGCAUCGCGGAUCGACGCUUUAUGUUAUCCCAUCGAGUCCAGAGUGCAAUCACUAUGUUGUCGACGUCGAAAGGAAGUCCUACAGGCUCUGUAAGAGCAAACGAUCCAAGCUCUUUUUUUCAGCAGUUUUCCGAGCUGGUCAGUAUGUCGUGGCUCUAUGUGAUACUUUGCAGUAUGUCUAUAUCCUUCGGGACAAUCUCCAAUGGAGGCGCCAGAAGACAGCAUCAAGGUCUGUUGAUGUGUCACAAAAGGUCAAGAUUUCUGGAUUUGUAGACCUCAUCAACGAUGCGUUUAUGAUAUCGGAUUUUGACACAGAUGAGUUCUUCUUGUUUGAUUUGAAGAGAUGGGAAUGGUUUUCUGUCAGGUCAUGGUUUUGUUUUCUGAGUGGAAGAUGCAUAUUCGCAGAGGGUUUCAUAUACACCUGCUCAGAUGAAGGUCUUGCUGCUUUUGAGCUGUUUUACGAUGAUACUUCAUAUUGGCUGGGUCUGCCUAUCAUGUUAGAUUUUUCUUGGAAGUACAUUUGCGGCAACCGAAGGUUCCUAUGCUUUGAUUCAAUUUGCAAGUGCGAAAUUGGUGAUACCAUUGUGUUCUGCGUGGUCCAGGGAUAUGAGGAAGCACCUCCUAGCACUUCAAGUCACACCUUGGCUGCAACCACAGUACAAGUGAAGCUUGUGGAAACAGCACGAGGGACAAAAGUGCCUGUCAGAGUUGAUCAUGUUGAUAUCUUUCUUUCAUCGAUUGUAGAGGAAGGGUGGAUCUUGACCAACUAUGCGUUUGCUUUGUAAGCAGUUGCAAGCUUAGGGUACUGAGCUCCGUGAGGUUCUAUGAGGCUGAACACCUGUAUCAUUGACAUUGGGCUAAUAUUUUGUACCUUUGGAAGACGAUGUAGGUAACUGCUAGACACUAGUUUCCGAUACCAAGGCCGCGGUUUCGCUGCUGUUUUGCCCGUAGCUAGACAUUGCCAUCUUUUUGUUCCAUUCUUGGCACUUGAACACAUUGCUAAGAUAUGAGUCAGGUCUGGUUUGGUUGGUUUGCUUAUUUUUAAGCACCCGUCACAUCGAAUGUUUAGAUACUAAUUAGGAGUAUUAAACGUAGACUAUUUACAAAAUCCAUUACAUAAGUGGAGGCUAAACGGCGAGACGAAUCUAUUUUUUUUCUUUUGCUUUUNNNNNNNNNNNNNNNNNNNNNNNNNNNNNNNNNNNNNNNNNNNNNNNNNNNNNNNNNNNNNNNNNNNNNNNNNNNNNNNNNNNNNNNNNNNNNNNNNNNNACGUGAAUGCAUACUGAACCAUUGACUGGAAAAAACCAGAAGCGUUACACAUACUUUAUAUAGCAUAGCCAGCACGUGAUCCAUGGAACGACAGACGCAUGGUACGUACGCGAUUCAACUAACAGCCCAAGUGUACGUACACAAGGAACAACAAUCAGGAGAUUAGGAGUUCUGAAUUACUCCAGUGUAAGAAUAAUAAUUAAAACCCAGUGGAAGAAGAAUAAUUUAUGGCGGAACGACCACUCCAAGCGAAGCGCAUCAGCUUCCCAAGUUGACGCCCAGAAAAACCUGACAACUCUGACAGUGCAUUUGAAAUACGGUUGAAGGGACGUUAGCCUCCACUUAUAUAAUGGGUUCUGUAAAUAGCGUACGUUUAAUACUCCUAAUUAGUAUUAGAAAAACAUCAAUACUUGCUUAAAAAUAAGCAAAGGGAAUAAACGUCCCUUCAACCGUAUUUCAAAUGCACUGUCAGAGUUGUCAGGUUUUUCUGGGCGUCAACUUGGGAAGCUGAUGCGCUUCGCUUGGAGUGGUCGUUCCGCCAUAAAUUAUUCUUCUUCCACUGGGUUUUAAUUAUUAUUCUUACACUGGAGUAAUUCAGAACUCCUAAUCUCCUGAUUGUUGUUCCUUGUGUACGUACACUUGGGCUGUUAGUUGAAUCGCGUACGUACCAUGCGUCUGUCGUUCCAUGGAUCACGUGCUGGCUAUGCUAUAUAAAGUAUGUGUAACGCUUCUGGUUUUGGUUUUACAUUAGGUUAUCGGGGUUGCCAGCACAGACCAGGAGAUUUGCUCAUUUUGUAGUACAAAUGUUGUGCAGCUGGAUAUACUCUGUUUGGCGCUUCAUUCGCCAGGAGCUCAAGAAAUUUCGACGAGGACCCCGACCGUGAGGGCCUCUGCCACGGCCGCCUCCGCUCCCCGCCGUCGCACACCACCGUACCGUCGACAUCACCGAUUCACCGUGCUGCAGCCAGCGAUGGGAGCCCACCACCACCCGCUUACUCUACCGGCGUUGCGUUGCCAUGGCCUCCGCAGCCUCGCCUUCACUGAGGUCACCGACGUCAUCCUCACCACGCGCUCAGGGCCAGCGUCGGAUCUUGUCACGACCCAGCGAGCGGUACUGUGCUCAGGUCAGGUGAGCAUCAGAGCAUGACACCGGAUCAUGUUUCAUGUCACGACGGAGCCGGUUACCAAGUGUAACCAAGAAGGGACCGCCACGCCGGUUAAUUGCUGGUCUCGCGAUUAGGACGCGUGCUGUGCCACAGAUCAGUCAAGCCUAACGCUGCCAGGGACUCCAUCAGCAGGCGCCCGGGGCUCUGAGGCGUCUGGAGGCUGGACGUGGUGCGUGUCUUCGCCAAAAGCCACAACUGAUCUUCUCGAUGAGCACGACCCAUGAAUUAAUUUACCCCGUACUGCCUGUGACUAAAUCCUUUCAAAAUGAGCUUCUAGGCUCACGCUACUGCUUCAAAUUGGGAACAAGUUAGGUUCCCCUGAUCGAGUAGUAUAGGCUGGACCUGGAUCAUAGGUUUUCCGGUAAACUACAUACUGUCAAUUCAACGAACUAACAAUGUGAUCAAUACCCUUAAUUACAUCGUUCAUUCCUUUAAUCAGCAACAUGGAAGUUGUUUUUUUCUCUCUAUUGGAGUAAGCUAGUCGGUCCCUAUAGCGAUGGUGGCCUGGACACGCGAAAAUGGGAAAAUGCGAGACACGGACGUCUCACCCCACGUGGCCUAUUUGGCAACACCCAUCACAUCGGAUGUUUGGAUGCUAAUUAGGAGUAUUAAACAUAAGCUAAUUACAAAACUAAUUGCACAGAUGGAGUGUAAUUCGCGAGACGAAUCUAUUAUGCCCAAUUAGUCCAUGAUUUGACAAUGUGGUGCUACAGUAACCAUUUGCUAACGAUGGAUUAAUUAGAUUUAAUAGAUUUGUCUCGCGAAUUAGCAUAGGGUUCUGCAAUUAGUUUUAUAAUUAGCUCAUAUUUAGUUCUCGUAAUUAGCAUCCGAAUAUCCGAUGUGACACUAUUAAAGUUUAACACCUCGUGUCAAAUACCUUUUAGAACUUGUGUCUCUAGCCCGUCUCCAGCAGCAUGGCAACGUCGGCAUGACUCACACGGACGUCAGGCUGAUGGUAGUAGACGUGAUGGCAGCAUCACUUUCAGCUCCAGGCAUGUCUGUCAUCCAUCCUCUACAAUUCUUCUCGGCUAAAUCUGAAACUCCGGAUCAACGAAGGAAAAAUAGAAAAGGCAGUCAGUCAAAACGACUUGCAACGUAAAGAGACUGUGUGCAAUGACCAUGUGGUGAUAUUCUACGAAUUUCGGGCACCAAAAUCCACCAGAAUAUCUUAUUUUCGGUGCCUUUUGUAGAGUAGCUUUCUUUUGUGCCCAUAGAAUAAGUUCAUCAGAAGUUUUCGAAACGGCCCAGACAAGAGACUAAUCAAUCUAUGGGCGGGGCCGUCGUCGGGUGGCCAGAAAAGCGGGGGAUCCAAUCCAAGCGGCCUAUUCCAUUUCUGCUCCCCACUUUAACAUCACGCGCUUUUAUCAAAAGAAAGAAACUGACCACGAAAUCAAGGGGGGAGGAAAAGGGAAACGGGCCAUAGAAAAUCCCAGUGAGAUACUUCAGCUGCAGCUAACCUGCAGAUUAUUCUAACACCACCUUGAGAUACUUUCACCGGCGAUUAAUUAGCAGCUGUUCCAUGUGAUGCGGACGGCACCUGCCGGCGCCAUUGGGCACAUGGCAGUUGCCGAAUCCACCCAGGAAAGCUCCACGAAGAUGAGAGAUGGAUUGUUUGGGGGCUUUGGCUGGCUGAAUAGGUCGCAGCAAGUGCCGGCGAGUGAGCUCACUUGUACGUCAUGGUAGUAUCACCAGCCGGACUGCCGGGGCCGGCUGUUCCUGUCAAGCCGUGUGAAAACUGAAAAUUCUCUCCGUCAGUCAGAGUUGGAGCCAUGAGCCAGCCGCUCGCUCAUGGAAGGAACCGUUUGCUUGCAAGAACAAAAUGCCCGGGCAGGGUAAUGAUCACCCUCCCUGCCCUGGUGCCCAAGUUACGGUUGCCCCCUUUCCAUUACACGAAGAGUCUGGACCAGAAUUCGCAGUAAAAAAAUAUCCUUUUUACCUUCCAGUAAUUCUGCAUAGCCCACAGCAGCAGAAUUCAUCCGUGAUCUUGACCUGUAAGAACAAGUAUAUUACUAUAUGAGAGAGUAUGAGACCAUCGACGUGGCGCUUUAACAGCGAGGGGAAUUAACCCUGACCGGUCGCCACCGCAUGCUGAUGCGACGCUGCCACAAGGCGCACGUAUGCAAACCGCAGCGCCGCGAACGGGGAGGCAGGUGAAACGAAACGGGGCUUGGCUUGCGUGCGCGUGGCGUCAGCGUGACCAGCUGCAGCGAAGCCGCCCAAAGCAAAGCAAGGACUUUGGGAGAUGCGACGCGCCCACGGCGUUUUGUUGUUUAUAUUCUCGCGCACAGCCGCACAGGAGGAGAGGAGAGAGCGCGGCCGAGGAAACGAGCGAGCGAGCAGGGCGAGGGGAGCUGUCGCUUUUGACCUCGCGGCGUAACGGAAUCAGGGCGGAUUCGCGCGCGCCGCCGCUGCUGCUGCUGCUAUAUAAGAGGCCGCAAAGGCAACGGGCAAAGCCAUCGUCGUCGUCGUACUCGCCCGCAAGAAACACGGGUCCGGCAGCCGGCGGUCGGAGAAGCCGAUCGAGGAGGUUGGAGGCUUGGCGGAGCAGCAGCCGCGAGGAGGUUGGGGACUUGAGUCAGCAACCGGCGGCAAUGGAGAAGCCCCGGCAGGUGGUGCGGAAGUUCCUGGCCCGGCCGCAGCACGAGGGCGUCGGCGCCGUCGUCCGCCGCAGCAUCGGCAGGUGAGCGAUCAGAUGAAUUCCGUUCUUGGCUGCCAUGUUCCGUGGUUAUGGAGAGCCGGGCGGUGAGAGAUGCUUGUGUGUUUCCUGGCUUCGCUUUGCUGAUUUGGGAUGGGACUCGCUGCUGGUGCGUGCAGGUUUGAGCUGAGGUACUUCGAUCCGUUCCUAGUCCUCGACGAGUUCUCCGGUGAGCUUCGAUUCCGUCCUUUCCUGAAUGGGCUUCGCUUGUCCCAUCUCGGCUCAACUAAUCGAUUGCCUGUCCGAAUUCCGCGCAGUUUCUGCUCCGGCCGGGUUCCCCGACCACCCGCACAGAGGAUUCGAGACCGUCACCUACAUGCUCGAGGUACGCACACAAUUCCCUAUUUCCCACUCGUUUUUGUUCUUCUGUUUCCGUCAGAGCAAACCUGAUGAGCCGCCAUGAGAAUUCCUGGCAUCCUCCGCAGCUACCAUUCCUUUCUCAAUUCCCAUUGCGCUGUAGCUUUACUGCUCUACUAGGCGAGCGAGAAAGGUAGGGAGCGGAGUCUAGCUUGACGACUAAACAGGGCUGCUUCAGGCAACGAACCGCGUGGCGCCAAUUGUCAACGACGCCAGCUGAUAUAAGGCCCUGUUUGGCUCUGAAAGUUUCUUCCCCUGCACUUGAAGAAUCCGUCCCGACGGGCCCCGGUUUCGGUAGCGCCCCCGCGUCCGUCAACCACCACCCGCGUUGCUCUACUUUUGCGCGCUCAAGGGAUCGACACCACACCAGAAAAUCAUCAUGAAAACGUUAUGAUACUAUGGCCCUGCUAAACAAUUAGUGUAAAAAGAAUCACAGAUCAGUUGGUAGCGGUAGUUCUGACCAGAAACUGAUGAAGAUGAACUCGUGUAAUAAAAAGGAUCAGGGUCAGAGUUUUCCGAGUUCUGGCUUUCUCAUUGCUUUGGGCGUGGAACGCUGUUUCAGGGCGCUGUGACGCACGAGGACUUCGAGGGCCACCGUGGCACCAUCAAGGCCGGCGACGUGCAGUGGAUGACGGCCGGGCGCGGCAUCGUGCACUCGGAGAUGCCCGCCGGCCCCGGCACGUCCAAGGGUCUGCAGCUCUGGGUCAACCUCUCCUCCGGCAACAAAAUGUGAGACUCAUCUUUCUCCCCUUUCUAUCAUUCCGGCUUCUCCACCACGACGUGGCAACUAGUCUUGUGUCAAUUCCGUCGUGCUCGUGUCAACUCAAUGCAAGUUGCCACAGUUGGGGACGAGCUUAAUUAACACGUGGUCAUCACUGACUAACAACACUCGAAAAACGACGUGCGCGCGUGCGUUCGUGCAGGGUCGAGCCCGGGUACCAGGAGAUCCAGAGCAAGGACAUCGCGUGCACGUCCGCGGACGGCGUCACGGUGCGCGUGAUCGCCGGGCACGCCAUGGGGGUGCGGUCGCCGGUGUGCACGCGGACGCCGACCAUGUACCUCGACUUCACGGUGCGCCCGCGCGCCGCCGUGCGGCAGCCCGUGCUCCCGUCGUGGAACGCCUUCGCGUACGUGCUGGAGGGCGAGGGCGUGUUCGGGACCGAGCGGUGCGCGCCCGUCGGCGCCCACCACCUGCUCCUCCUUGGCCAGGGCGACGGCCUCGAGGUGUGGAACAAGUCGGACAGGCCGCUUCGGUUCCUGCUCAUCGGCGGCGAGCCCAUCGGGGAGCCCGUGGCGCAGCUGGGGCCCUUCGUCAUGAACACCGAGGAGGAGAUCGACAUGACCGUCGACGACUUCGAGCGCUACGCCAACGGGUUCGAGAAGGCCAGGCACUGGAAAUCGCAGGCGAUGGUAGCGCUUGGCGUAGAGUAGGGACAAACACGAGCAGAGUACACAGCGAAGGGGAAAAAAAUCAACAGAUUAUUUUCGUUUUUUUCCUAUUAUCAUCGUAAUAUACGGUACUACUAGUAGGUAUCAUUGCUUUUCUUUCUUUCCCCCAAGAUCGGGGUUGUGUACAUAUAUCUGGUAUAAAUUAAUUUUAACAAUAACCAGGAACAGAGUUUUAUAGUUCAUCAUCAUCAACAACAAAAUAAAAGUACUAUUUAUUCCCUUCUGAAAUCUGACCCAUGGAGCCAAAACUCCCGACCAAUCGCAGCACGUCGCGGCAACAUCGAGGUGAGGGUGAGCUCGCCCGAGCCGAUUUCUAUUGGCUCCCACUGACGACCAGAUGGAGCGCCAUCCACCUCCCCUCCCCUCCAGCGUCCCUCCUACCGCCGCCGCCGCCAUCACCUCCAGCUCCCUACCGUCGAUGGAUCCCCCUAGCCCAGCAAGCCCACUAGCCCAACCUCCUCUGGCGCUCCAUCUCGCAGCCCCACCCCAAGCCCCCAUCGCUCCCCCCUUCCCCGUGACCCCGAAGUUGUACAUCUAUCCUUCUCCCCUACCUCUGAAACAUCUGACACCUCCUCUCAUGAUAAGCAUGCUUCUCGUCGUGUCCAUUCGGUCAUGGCACAUACGACGGAUUCCUCUAGUUCUGUUGAGGAGACCCGUCACCUACACAAAGGUAAAGAUUUGGCGCAAGAUUCGUCCGGCUCGCCUGUUCGGCACCAUGCUUCCUGUAGAGAUGUUGUCCCCUCUCAGCCAAGCUUGACCUAAAAAACAUGCAUACAUUAUGUAGCAUAUUGUGGAAUAUUAAAACUACCAAAAUCUAUUCAGUGAUGAAUGUAAAUGUUGUGUGUCAUGCUCUUGUUUCGGCCAUAUUUCUCCCGAGUAGUUAAUUAGCCUGUUAUGUUUAGUAUCUCAGUUCUUGUUUAGCUAUUGCCAUUGUAUGUGAGAUUUUUGUCUCGUGUACGCGUACUGGCACUACUGCUACGGAGAUCUUUGUCUCGCGUCUUAGUGUUUAGGCAUGUUAGAAGAUCCGAGGCUUUCACGAAUUGAGGUGUGUUCUGCUUGAGGAGAUUAGUGACCGCUAAGAGAAGCCAUUUAAAAUAAGUAGUCGACAUUGCGAUAAAAAACUGCGCGAUUGCGCGUAAAGUAGUCUUUGAGAUUUUUUUGCCUUUUGGCAAGGAGAGCGUGUGUUGCCGCGUAUAAGAUCUGUGCCUCACUAGGGUGUAGCCGCUAUGAGCCUCCAGCACUCAGUGCACCAAACUUCGUGGCAGAGCCUCCUAAUUCAGUGUACCAAGCUUGUGGCGGAGCUUCCGGAACUCAGUACACAAAACCCGUGGCUAUAGCCUCUGUAAUUCGGUGUACCAAGCCCAUGGCUGUCAGUCAACAUGCCCCAAGAGUUGUCAGCGAAGUGUAGCUCUGAAUGGUAAUUCCCAUUGAGAGCCGUACACAAAUAAGUAGUUGGCGCAUUCACCAACCAUGCUGAAAACAAUCUAGAAAAAUUAUAUAAAAUAAUUAAAAAAGUGACUUAACUUGAUUCAUGGAUGAUUGUCUACGAAGCCGCGUCGAUUGUCGAUGAAGCCAACUAGUCGGUGUUGAUUUUGACUAGUUGUCAACGGUGUGAGGCUCGCCCUUGACUAGUUUUCUAGUCAAGACGAGUAGUCAAAGUAGAUCGUCCUCAACUAGUUUUCUAGUCGAGACGAGUAGUCGAAAUAGUCAUCGGCGACUUGAUGCGGUCGGACGUCGGGGCAGCAGUGCUCGCGUACAUCUUCUAUGUACGUUAUGCUAUGAUUUUAAGGUCUUGUGGUAGCCUUCCAUGUGCGUGUAGCACAAAUCCCUCAAAAUUGCUUUUUACAGAGAGUAGUCGAAGUUGAUUAUUUGCCUCAAGCUGCACGUAACUGUAACAUAUCUUUGUCAUUUUGGGAAUUAUGGCGUGGAUCCCUCAGUCUGCCUGAUCUCCCAACUCGAGUCAAAUUUGCCUCUGCCUUGAUCGACGAGCUGCAUGCAGCAGCCUGCAGCGAAAACCGACUCGGUCUUCAACUGGAACGCGAAACGCAUCGAUUCUGUCUUAGCAUAGAUUUAUCUGCUCGAAACUCUGACUCGACGACUUGCUUCUUAUCGAGUAGAUUGAUCUUGAUGAUGAGGUCCUUCAACCUCGCUCGAUGAUCUCAACGAUCACCCCUACCUAGCGCGCCAGAUGUCGGUGUUUUAUACCCUACAACGUACCGAGGGGUAUCCCGAGGUAGUAGAUUGGUCGAUGGGGGAUCGUCGGACCUGAAACUCGAAGGUAAAAGUGAGGACACAAGACACAGAUUUAUACAGGUUCGGGCUGUCAGAGUAGCGUAAUACCCUACAUCCUAUUUGGGGUGUUGUAUAUUGCGCCCUGCGCUUGGAUGUUGUUUGGUGUUAAGGAUUUGGUUUUCUGUUGUGGUUCUAUGAGGUCUUUGCCUACCGAUAUAGGGACCCCUGCCCUCCUUUAUAUACUCCAGGAGGCGGGAUUACUAGUCAAUUACAAGGUAGGAGUCCUAGUAGGAUUACAUGGUAUGAGUCCUAGUAGGAUUACAGGAAAAUCCUAGUAGAAGUCCGUCUUCUUCCUUCCUUGCGGGUACUGUGAAUCUAUCCCCGAUAGCAGCCACGGCUGCUCUGCUGGUGCUAGCCCGUGGCAGGAGGCGAGGAGGCUGCACUGGUGGAAGAGGCAUGAUGCUGGACCCAACAUGUCACAGUCCGAGCAUGAUGUUAAUAAUUCCACAUAACAUUGUCAAUCACUCAUCACAAGCUAAAAGCAACAUCAUUCCACACAAUAUUGUCAAUCACUCAUCAUCCAAGGGUGACCACCAUUGGUCCUCAAUUCUAUUGAGCACAACCUCUUCUUCUGCUCUGGUAAAUGGUACUACAUGCCGCAGUUUCCAUCAUCUCAAGGGCCUUCACCAAGGGGAUCCUUUGUCCCCCAUGCUGUUCAUAUUGGCAUUGGAACCCCUUCAUUAGUUAAUGCACUUAGCUGAACAAGAAUCCAGAUUGAAUCCCUUACACAACCGCGCGGCCAGCAUCUGGUUGAGCCUAUAUGCGGUUGACGCCAAGGUCUUCACCAAUCCGGACAAAAAUGAGGUGGACACUCUGAAAGAGCUAUUUGAUGUGUUUGGCUUGGCCUCGGGGUUACAGAUAAAUCUUAGAGUUCUGUGUUCCCGAUCCACUAUGAUGAAAUCAACUUGUAAGAAGUUCUAUCCAGUAUGCAAUGUGAUAUCAAGACUGUUUCUAGAAAAUACUUGGGCCUCCCUCUUAGUUUGAGAUAGCUUAAGCGAGUUGAGGUGCAACCGCUUAUCGACAAGGUGGCAGCUAGGUUACCAUGAUGGAAAGGCAAGCUGAUAAACAAGGUUGGAUGCUUAUCUCUGGUUAAUUUAGUCCUAUCCUCCAUUCCCAUGUACCAUUUGACAGUCUAGAAAUGGGCCUUUAAGAAGACUGACAAGAUGGUUUUCUAUGGAAAGGGGAUGAACAGGUGAACGGCGGGCAUUGUCUGGUGAAGUGGACCAAAGCUUGUCUGCCUAAGGAUCUUGGCGGCCUGGGAAUCUUGAAUUUCGAGCUGUUCGGUCGUGCACUGCGGCUGCGAUGGCUGUGGUUUGCCUGGACUGAACCUAACCGGCCAUUGGUAGGAUCUUCUCCUCCUUGUGAUGAAGUGGACAAGCAGCUCUUCAGGAACAGCGCCAUGGUACACAUUGGCGACGGCCAGAGGACUUCUUUCUGGCACUGCAGCUAGGUGAAUGGUAGGGCACCAAGGGAUAUUGCUCCAAAUUUAUUCAAGUUGUCAUGGAGAAAACACAAUUUGGUCUGGGAGGUUGUCGUGGAUCACAAAUGGACGAGGGGGUUGUGGAAGAUGUCUACUGCUAUUGAGAUGGCUGAAUUUCUGCUCCUUUGGGAUGAGGUGUAGCAACUACAAUUCAAUGAUCAACCUUAUAGGAUUUCAUGGCGCUGGACAGACAAUGAGCAAUACACAGCUAAAUCAGCAUACAGGGUUCAACUUAGAGGGACGUUCUGCACUUUCAGAGGAGAUUGGAUUUGGAAGGCUUUCGCGGAGGGCAAACACAAAGUUUUCACCUAGCUGCUGGUACAACACAAGGUUUUAUCAGCGGACAAGCUUCGUAUUCACAAUUGGCCCUGUGAUCAUGUCUGUUCGCUUUGCGACCAGGUGGAUGAGAUGACACCGCAUCUUGUUCUCAACUGUUAUUUCGCUAAAGAAAUCCGAGUGAAGGUAAAGCAAUGGACUGGGCUAUACUGGUGCCAGUCAGGGAGGAGGUUUCAUUGGAGCAAUGGUGGGCAAAGAACCUGGAACACGUGAUGGGAAGAUCAAGGAGGUCAUUAGCUGCGGUAAUCAUGUAGACGGUUUAGAACAUUUGGAAAGAGCGCAAUCGACGGAGUUUCGAGCACAGAGCGCUGCUCUAUGGGCAGGUUCUGGGCAUGAUCAAGGAAGAAGUGGGAUUACAACGAGCUGCUUGUGGCACCCUGGAGUUUGAGUGUUCUUAGUGUUUUAUGUGUGUGUCAUUGGUCUUUAUGUAAUACGUAAGACUCGCAUUCUCCUUCUUCAUUAAAUGACUCUUGCUCCAUUUCAAAAAAGAAAAUCUAACCCUUGCUAAUUUGGGCCGAAACUAUUGCUAUUGGGCUCAAGGAAAGGAAACUAAGCCGACCUAGUAAAGAGACGGGUUCAGGUAGCCUUCAAUAUUGGGCGGAAACUUUUCGCUAUUUUAGACUCAAAGAAAUGGAGGAAACGAGGAAACUUUUCGUUUGGUGGUCCAACAAGGACCGGACGAAUUUUGUUAUGGGCCAACCAAAGUGCUCAAUUUUUAAAGCCCACGGUAUCAUCAGAACUUGCAACGCCAAAUUAGGCCCAUAGAUAUUCGGCCUAAUUGAGACCAAAUGAAUAUGCUGUCAUUGUACAGGAAAUUUCCUCUCAAAAAAAGGGAAAACUUAAGCAUUGACUGAUGAAUAUGGUGUCGCUGAAAACUUAAGAUUUAUAGUUUUUUAAAGUUCCAAAUGAUUUGUAUUCUGACCCAGGGCAGCAGGGGCAACGGCCAAGGCCCAUGACACAAGGGGCCCAUAGUUCAAUACGUAAAUGUACCUGCAUUUGAGGCCUAGCAGGCCUGGUACUUGCUAGACAGACGCAGCUGCAAUGCCCACGCGCUGGAAACAAAUCCACGUUCUGCCCAUUGGUGGCCUAUGCAGUCUCACCUCUCUCUUCUCUCUCCUUCCUUGUUUUUUUCCUUCUCACCGCCCGCCGCCUCACCUCACGUCGUUGAUGCUGCCACUCCCAGCCUCUGGUGGUGAUUGUGGCGCUGCAGACCAGUGACAGAAGCAACGAAAGAAGAAGCCAAUCCCCUCGAUUGGGUCGUGCUUCGAGCUCAAUGUGGCCGGCGGGCCUCUAUGCAUGAGAGGUGAUGCCAAUGCAGCAAGAUUCCAUCGAAGGUAUAGCGGGCGACAUGGAGCCUGUAGUGCCGAGUGCGCCUUGCAUGGUCUUGAUUGCAGCCCCAGCAAGGCCUCCUCAGCGAACGGAGGGCCUCCUCAGUUCUCAUUUCGCUCAAGGGCCCUCCAAAUUAGGUAUGAAAGCGGAUAAAAUCUUGUUUCCAUCCGCUUAUUUUUCUAUAUUUAUCCCGUAUUUUGAGUUAUGUAAAAACGGGAUAGUAAGGUCCGGUAAUGAGACGGAAAACGGAUGGAAGUAUCCAGGAACAAGACGGGAUGCAGUUGAGGGUGUAUCUCCCGUAUUUGUGGGAUCCUGUUUCCAACCAGGAUGAUCCCGUAUUCAACCUGUAUUUGAGGGGUCGAGGAUGGUCCCCAACCCCUCCUCAACCUCUCAAUCGCUCAGUCCAUGAGCCCAACAGGUCAAGCCGGUGCAUCUGUCAAAGGCAGCAGCAGCACAUCUAUUUCAUGUACGUACACAAGUUAUGGUUCUGCUACUAGCACUUGCAGUUAGCUACUAAGCUGUUAUCCGUUAUUCUGUGCAAAUAGCAGUAGCAUUAGCAUUAGUAGAUUAGCAAAUAGCAAAGUAGCGGUAGCACAGUAGCACUUGAAGACCACGCAAAUAUCCGUUAUUCUGUUGAUUCUUUGACAGGAUCCAAGAGAAAGGCUCGUGAAGGUGAUGCUAGUGCAGCUAGUAGUGUGCUUGGUGCUUUGUUGUUGCCGCUGAUGUGCACUUGUGCAAAAAGUGCUGCUUGCGGUUGCCGACUGGCACACUUUUGUGUGUAUGUGUUUAUAAUGUAUAUACAUUAGUAUUCACGUAUAUGUGUCCCGGUUCCCAUCCCGUUUUCAUUGUAUUCCCACUCAUAUUUUUUUGUUUCCGUGAACCGGAUAUCAGUUCCGCUCCCGGUUGUCCCGUUCCCGCUGAAGAAAUAUGGUAACGGAAAUGGGAAAGGAGUUUUCCUAUCCGUUCUCAUCCCUACUCCAAAUCGUAGAACUGGUCAUGCAUGUGAGAUGACAUCAUCAGUUUUGUCUCUUUUGCAUGCAUGCACUAUCUUUCCCACGCGUGAAGUCAUAGAAGGAGACAGGUGGUGAAAUUGCAGCAUAUGCGAUAUAUAGUAUCCACCCAAUAGCAGUUGUUCUAAAACAAGAUAGAACGGAUGCGCCAUAAUAUUUGUUAUGAUAAGAUCUUCAAAACAAAACUCACUUGACUAGGUUUUGAAGAUAAUUUUAAAAAAUAUUUUUUAAUACGGAAUAAUUAAUUUCAAUUACUGCGAACAAAUAAUUGAACAUCACGAACAAAUAAUUAUUUUCUAUGAACAAAUAAUUAAAUAUGACAAACAAAAUAAUGGUACACUCUGAACAAAAAUAGUUUAAAUCACGAACAAUUUAUUUUAUAGUGCAAGCAAUAUAAAUUGAAUAUCACAAACAAAUACGUACACAUUGUCGAACAAAUUAUAUGAAUUCAGGGAAUAAAACAACAUACCUAUCAACAAAUUAUACAAACUCCCAAAAAAAAGACCUGUACACCGAAAAUAAAUACAUUAUUGAUAUAGCAUAAAUACUAUAAUCUAUAAAAAAGUAAAAAGAUACUAUAAAACAUUAUAAUAUGUUAAAAUAGAAAAUAAUCGAAGAAACUUAAGUUUGCUAGAUGCUACUCAGUUGCUCUAACUAUUAGCUAAUAAGGCCUUUUCAUAGAAAAUAAAUCUACAGUUUCACAUUGAAUUAUUCUUCAAUUUGAAUAAAUAAUUUCAUCGAAGUUGGUUGUGUGUUUGUUAACUGCUAACUAUAUAAGAUAUAAAGAUGGACAAUAUGAAUUAUGAAAAACAACCGAAGAAAGGAUACUACAUAAGGUAUAGAAGAGAAAAAGGAGAAAUAAAUAAUAUAUAAAAAGAGUUAACAGGAAGAGAAUAUAAAUUGAAGGAAAGAAAUAGAAAAAUGAAUAAACAUGAAAAAUAAUAGCCAACUCAACCUCGUGGUGGACCCCUCGCAUGCACGCUGACACGGGAAUUGGCCUCAUGGUGGACCCCUCGCAUGCAUGCAGCAUGCCUAUGCCCCGCACGGCUCCUUGCAUGCGGACUGACACGGACACGGGAAAUAUUAUUGGGCCGGGCUGACUCGCUGCGCGUUUGCAUCAUGCGACAAAUAGAUUAUCAUCGUAUAUGCGAUGACAGUCGUGACCCCUCGGGUCCCUUCCCGCCGCACAUGGACGGACCACGUCAAGUCGGGAUCGCGCUCCACCGCAAUAGCGCGCGCGGUGGCAUCCCGGGGAGGCGCCGCCUGCAUCCGCGCGAGCGCGCGCCCAACCCCGAAACGGACCCGCCGUCGCUGCGGCGCAUUGAUCAUGGACGGAGCCACCCGCCGCUCGCCUGCCUGCCCGAUCGCCCUCGGCCCCUCGUCGCGCUCGUAGGAGAUUUGGAGAAGUCCGUGUCGGGCGGGGCCGGGCAAUGUCGACAUGUCCGGAAUCCGGAUAAGCUCGGGGCGCAGCGCGCUGCGGUUGAACGAGCGCGGGGACAGGCCGCCCCGUGCCCCCGUGCACCAACCGCGGCCGCCUCUUCGAUCGGCCAGGAGCUUCGUCGGAAGGGGGGACGCGAGGCGAUCCCGCCGGUGCCAGGAGGCGAGAGGCCAACGGACACGUCGGCGUUGACGGCGAGUCUUAUCCGCUUUCCAAGCCCCCCGGGGGGGGGGGGGACGCCAGGUCGGCGGCGACUAGUAGUUAGGGCUAGUUUGGCAGGGCUCCGGCUCCGGCUCCGUGCGCUUACCGAAGCACGGAGGAGCCGGAGCCGCACCAAACGGCAUUGACCGCGGAGCUAUUUUUUGGCACAUUUGGGAGAAGCCGGAGUCGUUUUAGGCCUGCAUGGAGGAGCCUAAAAAAGUGGCUCCGCGGCUCCGGCUCCAGCUCCGCACGAGGAGCCCCUCGCGAGGAGCCCUGCCAAAGGAGCCCUUAAUCAUCGCCUGCUGCUGCUGGCUCCGCAGCCAGGAACCAAAAAAAAUCCGUUCACGGAUCGAGCUGCAAAUGGAACCUGCCCCGGAUGGAUAUUGUAUCUGCCAUGGCACGUCGACGUGAGUGUGACGCGGCGCUGCUGAACGUUCCGCUUGGACGCUUGGACCUUCCAGUCAUUUUUUAGAAACUUCAUUCCCACCCAUUUUUGCGUGCGUGUAAACGACCGGAUGAGGUCACGACCCGUAGCACUUUUCGAUUUUGUUACAGCCCAGUGUUGGCCGCGCCUAUAAGGACACGUACAACGACACGUACAACGAUCCGUUCCGAGCCGUCUGGGAGCCGAUUCAUUUGCAAAAAGCCCCCGCGACGGCCUGGAGACGGCUUCAUCGUCGCCUCGCGAGGCGACGAUCCCAGCUCAUGCUCCUAGACGAAAAAGGCGACUCCAGCACCGUUGUGCGGCUCACCGACGAACCCCUGCGUCGCUCCCUCGAUCCGCUGCAGCUCCUCCGCGCGGGAAGAUGGUGCCCCUCCUCCGCCUCCAACCCACGAGCCGGCGGCGCCCUUCCUCGAAUCCAAUGAGUAGCGGCGGCGGCGCGUUGCUAGAUGCGGCGGCAGUGCCGGAUGGAAGGCCGCGGCCGUGUAGGAGCAGGAAAGGUGCGGCCAUGACACGGAAGCGCGGCGGCGGCUAGCGUAGGGACUCGAUCUGCAACUAGCCAUGCCCUGAUGGUGGCGGCUAGCUCGGGGCCUCGAUUUGCCUUUGGCGAUGCUCCUGAUGGUGGCGUCCUCAAGAUUCAGAUGUAGCAGGAUGGUAAGACUUCAUUCCCUUCUUUUUUGAAACGAAAGACUUCAGUCCCUUCAUUUGUGUCUCUUCAUGCUUUGGUUCUUGAACUAAUUGUACGAAGAAAUUAACUUGCAUGAGUUUGAUCUUACUAUCUUCUGUAUUUACUUGGACGUUGCUCAUGCUACCUUUGUUGUAUGUCAAUUAGUUCAGGAAGAACCACCAAUACAAGACCCCCAUGAUUUUUUGACACUCAUAAAAUAGUUGCUAUAAAUAUAUAUAUAUAUAUAUUAUACUUAUGCUUUAAAAAAUUUCACGUGACUUGAUUGAAUACAUUGUGUUUUCUAAAAAAAAACAACAAAAUAGCAUACAAAGAUCAAAUUAUACUUCAUCAACAUGAGUUAUGUACCCAUACACGAAUUAAAUAUUACACAGACAGCCUAAUAGACAAGUCACUGUAUAGUUGUUUGUUUUGUUGUCUGUGUACGAUCUCCAAAGCAUUUGGAGACGGUAGCUGUCUAAACCGUUAAACAUGCCUAAGAGCAGCCAAACCGUUAAACAUGCCCUAAGAGCAGCCAAGCCUUUUUCGUGCAUUGACAGAUUGUUGGGAGUACAGCUGCAGAGCAGCAGGGCAGGCAAGGUAUUCUUAUCGCGAUUUUUCCUUUUCUGUCUGCCAUGGAUCCGCGGCGCGGCUGCUGGGAGUGCUCGUCGUCGGAGGACGUGUCGCGGCCGCUGCUGCCCGUGCACGACGACGACGACCGGCCCGCGGGGAGCCGGUCAUGCUCCGCGCUCGGGAAUAAGUACCUGGCCGUCGCGUCGGGGCCGGCGGCGUGCGCACUCAUCUGCGCUCUGGGGAACUCGGCGGGCACCCGGCGGCGCGCAACAUGCUCGGCGUGCUGGCCUGGGUGUUCCUCUGGUGGAUCACGGACGCCGUGCCGCUCGCCGUCGCCUCCAUGGCGCCGCUGUUCCUGUUCCCGGCGUUCGGCAUCUCGUCCGCCGACGACAUCGCCAAGGCAUACAUGGACGACGUCAUCGCCCUCGUCCUCGGCAGCUUCAUCCUCGCGCUCGCCGUCGAGCACUACAGCAUCCACCGACGCCCCGCCCUCAACGUACGCGCCGAGACCAAACGUUUCGAGCUAGCAACUUGUACAGAAACAGAGGAGAAAACAAUAACAACAAUAACUAACAUUGUGUAGCUCGACGCGCAGAUCACGUCCCUUCACCGGGUCGCCGCACCUGCUGCUGCUGGGCAUCUGCGGCACGACCGUGUUCAUCAGCAUGUGGAUCCACAACACGGUGUGCACCAUCAUGAUGGUGCAGGUGGCGACGGGGAUCCUGCAGCGGCUCCCGCGCGACCAGGGCAGAGACAAGCAGGGGGAGGGUCCGGAUCGCCUAGUUGACGAUGAUCCAAGGAAGCCGAAGCGGAGGCAUUCCGGCGAGGGUACGUGACGUUGUUGAGGUGGACCAUCUGCACUUCCACCGUCCGUCCGGCUAGUAGACUCCAAACAAUGAGGAGCAACUUGCCGGACAGUACAAACAAUACCUUUUUGAAUUGGAACUUUUCCGUCACUCCGUGUCAGCUUGCCUAUUCCAGAAAUGGCAUGAAGCUUUAUCCUGAAUAAUAGUCAGCAGCAGAGCAAUCUUAUCCACUCCCCAAGUCAACAUGCGAAGGUGAUUGCCUACAUAGAACAUUCUUUCGUGGUAUUGCUCGAAAUCAUGACCGAUAAACCUUACCGGACGGCCCAAAACUUUCAGCCCAACAAUGCACUCUGACUUUUCGGCUUACAUUGACUGGCUCCUCCGGCGGCAUGAUCCAAAUAAUUCAGUUCCGAAACAGUUGAGCUUGUUCGGCUGGACUUAUAAGCUGACUGAAAAGCUGAAACGGUUAAUUUAUUGUGAGAGAAAAAUACUGUUCGAUGACUGAUAAGCUGAAGCGAACAAGCUGAAAAAUGCUGGCAUUCCUCAGUGGAAGUUUCUUCAAUUCUUCCUUCGUUCAGGAGUUGGGACCCGCCAUCCGCCGACCGGGACACGCAAGCUCGCGGCGGCGCUUCGCCGCGGGCCGUGAGGGGCGUGGCAGCCAAUCGACCGACUCACCGACCCACACGACCCGCGAAGCAGCUGCCGUGCCGUGUCCGCGGCACCGCUGAUCUGGCGAAGAUUCCUACUCCUCCUAGCCAUCCUGCUCAUUGUCUCGCUGUCGCGGUGGAACCCUGGGUACUUGGGCAGGCCUCAGGCCAUGUUUAGUUACUCCCAACUCCCAACUUUGACACUAUGCAAAAAGAAGAUUCCCCAUCACAUCAAACUUGCGGUACAUGCAUGGAGUACUAAAUGUAGAUGAAAUUAAAAACUAAUUGCACAGUUUUGUUGUACUUUGCGAGACGAAUCUUUUGAGCCUAAUUAGUCAAUAUUUGGACAAUAAUUCACAAAUACAAACGAAACGCUACAGUGUGCUACAGUGCUGUAACAGUAAUUUGGCACCUCCCAAAUUCCCUAACUAAACAAGGCUUCAAUCGGGCGCCGGCGCCCCGGGCCUGAAUGAUUUACCGUCCGAUGUCGACUGCAACCAACCAGGAGUCCGGACGUCCCGUCGCUACGCUGCCACGUACGCAGCCCCCAGCGCACACCGUCCACCAGAUUGUUUUGUUUAUGCAUUGCGUGAUGUACUCCCUCCGUUCUAAAAUAAACUCACACCUUACUUCCUGAGAAGUCAAAUAUUUUUUAGUUUAACUAAGAAUAAAAAUAGUAUCAACAUUUGUAUCUUCAAAUAAAUUUAUUAGGAAAGUAUACUCAAUGCUCAAUCUAUUGAUACUUAUUAUACAUCAUAAAUAGUAGUACAUUUUUUUAUAAAUUUUGAUCAAACUUUAUAAAGUAAGUGAGAUGUGCGUUUAUGUUGGAAUGGAUGGAGUAUAUGCAUUUUCUGCUCUCUCUCUCUUGUUGUUCUAGGCGCUCAUAGCUCACCAAACAAAUCCUUUUUGAAUCGGAAUUCUCCGUGUCAGCUUGCCAAUUCCAGAAAUGGCAUGAAGCUAAGAAACAUAUCCUGCAUAACAGUCAGAUGCAGAGUUACGCUAUCCACUUCCACUCCCAAGCCAACGUACAAGUAUACUCUCUCCGAUUUAAAAUAUUUGACACUGUUAACUUCUCAUGUCGCUUGAUCAUUUGUUUUAUUAAACAAUAUUAUAAAUAUACAUGAAGAUAAGUUAUGCUUAAAAUAUAUUUCUAAGUCACAAACCAAAUAAUGAACUUUCAUAAUUUUUGAAAUAAGAUGAAUGGUUAAAUGUUGUGAUUAAAAAUCAAUAGCGAUAGAUGUUUCGAUACGGAGAUACGUGCAAUGAAAAUGAUGCCAGCUGUGAACCCAUAAUAAAUAAAUACUUUUGCAAUUGGCCCUUUUUAGUCUCGCUGAAACCGUAAAAAUAAUCUACUUCCUCCGUCCCAAAUUACUAUUCGUUAUUCGUUUUGACUUUUUAAUUACGUAGUCUUUAUUACGUAUCUAGACAUAAUAUAAUCUAAUAAUAUAUAUCUAGAUGUAUAGCAAAAGCUAUAAAAUAAAUAGUAAUUUGGGACGGAGAGAGUAUUCACUCGUGGCUCGUGGACAAACCCACUUCUCAUCCGGCACCAGCAUCCGUAUAAGUAGGUGGGGGUGUUUGGAAGGAGGGGACUUGAAGUUUAGUCCCCAUCACAUCGAAUGUUUGGAUACUAAUUAGGAGUAUUAAACUUAGACUAAUUACAAAACUAAUUACAUAACCCCUAGGCUAAAUCGCGAGACGAAUCUAUUAAGCCUAAUUAAUCCAUAAUUUGACAAUGUGGUGCUACAGUAACCCUUCACUAAUGAUGGAUUAAUUAGGCUCAAUAAAUUCGUCUCGUGAUUUAGCCUAGGAGUUCUGCUAUUAGUUUUGUAAUUAGCUUAUGUUUAGUCCUCCUAAUUAGCAUCCGAAUAUCCGAUGUGAUAGGAAUAAAGUUUAGCUCUGCCUUCCAAACACCCCAUAUUCGGUCUGCCGCGGGAGGCAUUAAAAAGGAGCCAGAAACCUUCGCGGGCGGUGGCAUAAAAUUUUUGAGCCCGAUGAUGCCGCCGGCUUCUUUUUCUUUUUCUGCAUAUCCAAGAAUAUUUCGGUUCUUCAAAAAACCCAAGCGUAGAAACGCCGGCCAGAACCCACGCCCGAGCGCGGGCGGCCGCGCUUCGCAGCGGCCCGCGGUGGGCGGCGAACCCAUCGUCAUCCACGGCCGCCUCGAGCAGCUAGCUGUCGUGCGCCGCCGCACAGCAGGCUGCCCCAGCAGAUUCUUCCUACUGCUCGUAGCCAACUUGAGCACCGUUUCGCUGUCGCGGUGGAGCCCUGGACAGGCCGCACCGGGCGUCCCAGGACUAGGCGCGCCGGCCAGCCGGGACCGAUCGUUGCCUGAGUGGUUGUGCCGGCCGACGUCGACGGCGACCAGCCAGGACGUAUUCCGUCCCGUCGCUGCGAGCUGUCACGUACGUUGCGCCCGGCGCACGACGUCCACUAGAUUGUUUUAUGUUACUCGCUGUAUAGACAUUUGUCGUGAAGGUUUCAGCGGAUCAAAGAUGAAAGAAGCUUUUAUCCAGUUGAUUUUAGACCUGAGACUAAAGUACCUUUAAUCUUAGAUAAAAAAUGAGCCAUCGAAGACCACCGACAGGGAGAGUUUUAUUCUCGGUUGUAAAGAUCAACCGGGACUAAAACCCUCCUUUAAUCUGAUUGUAACGGCUAGUGGACCGAGGGAACAUUUUAUCCCGAUUAAAAUCACCAACCGAAACUGAAGAUCAUGUUUAGUCCCCGUUGGAAUUACCGGAAUCUGCCCGCCGUCCUGUCCUCGGAAACACGAAGGAGCCAUCAACCAUCAGCUGGAAAAUCCACGGUCCAAGAUCGGAUCGGCAGACGCUUCGAUUUGACGUCAUGCAGUAGGCAAGUAACGGAGCAAGGCCUCUUUGGCUCGAUUCAGCAUGCAACUUGUUGCGGGGUGCAACGCAUCUGCCGUGUAUGGAUUGGCGAACAAAGUCAGGCUUAGGCUAGCAGGGAGUAACGUACGUCUAGGGGCAAAUCAUCGAUACGGAUCAGCCUUGGCAUUUGAUAUCUCCGCUUCAGCACGCGCGAGCCAUUACGCAACGCAAACACACUUCGCACCGCCCGGCGCCCGGGCGACACGCGUGCACAUACCGAGAAGAAACCCACAGACCGAGAUUAUAAUCAUACAUAGCGUCCCGGGGCAGGGCACGACGGAUUCAUUCAAACAAGGAACGUUACGAGUUGCCACAUCGGUAGGUCAGAGAAAAAGCCUUUGCGUUGACUCGUUGAGGCUGUACCAAUCCUCCCGCCUGGUCAGCCUAUCGCCCGCCCGAUGCAGAUUGGCAUCGGCCGCGGCCGCCGGUCGCCGUCCCGGGCGGGCCCUUGAAAGCUCGACGUCCCAAAUAUCGUGGCGUGGGUGGAGAUAUCUGCAGGAUUGCGUGGAAAGGUCCGGGGAAUGUCGACAUGACCGCGCUUCCGGCCGUGCGCGCGCAGGUCGCCCCGUGCGCCACCAAUGACCAAACGCGGUCAGCUCUUCCGCCCCUCAAGGGCUGAGGCGCGCAGGCCAGCGGUACACGUCGGCGUCGACGGCAGCAGUAUUACUCACUCUUAUCCGGUGUCCAAGUGGGGCCGUGCUUAUCUGGACGCCAAGUCGGCGCCACAUUAUUAAUCACCAGGUUGGUGGCACAGCGUGGGAGCCAGAGGAAAGUGCAGUGCGGUUAGUAUUGUAAGCGUUACCUGACGUGGCUCAACGUGGAGCACCUUCUUCUUCUUGGACCUUCUCCCUCACCCUGUCACCCAACGACUCAAAUCAUUGUUCUUUUUUGGGGGGGGGGGGUAAAGAUUGUGACCAUUUCGCCUACGUGCAAAUGGCCAGAUGAUGAUCUCUCGCAGCCCCAACAGUUUUUAUGUUUCUUUUGUGUUCCCCAGCCUAUAAAACCAGGCAAGCUUUUCGGACGCCACACUUCAUCAACAAGCACACGCACGGUUUUGUCAGCUGCCGAUUCCUUGGACCAUGGAUCCGCGGCGCGCCUGCUGGGAGAGCUCGUCCGAGGACGUCACGAGGGCGCUGCUGCCGGUGCACGACGACAGGCCCACGAGGGGACGGUCCUGCGCGGGUCUCAGGGCGAUGCUCGCCAACAAGUACCUGGCCGUGGCGUCGGGGCCGGCGGCGUGCGCGCUCAUCUGUGCUCUCGGGGACCUCGGCGGGCACCCCGCGGCGCGCAACAUGCUCGGCGUGCUGGCCUGGGUGUUCCUGUGGUGGAUCACGGACGCCGUGCCGCUCGCCGUCGCGUCCAUGGCGCCGCUGUUCCUGUUCCCGGCGUUCGGCAUCUCCUCCUCCGACGCCGUCGCCAAGGCCUACAUGGACGACGUCAUCUCCCUCGUCCUCGGCAGCUUCAUCCUCGCGCUCGCCAUCGAGCACUACAGCAUCCACCGACGCCUCGCCCUCAACGUACGCCCGCGCGCUCUCGCCUUUGCCGAUUAAACGACUGAGAGCAUGUCUGCAACUCUGCAUCCGGACCAAGAAAAAAAGAACUAACUCUGUUGUGAAUUGUGAUGUCGCUCGUUCCGACGCGCAGAUCACGGCGCUGUUCUGCGGGGACCCGGUGAAGCCGCACCUGCUGCUGCUGGGCAUCUGCGGCACCACCAUGUUCAUCAGCAUGUGGAUCCACAACACGGCAUGCACCGUGAUGAUGAUGCCGGUGGCCACGGGGAUCCUGCAGCGGCUCCCCCGCGACGAACUGGAGGGAGGCUCGGAUGCACGCGAGGUCCAGCGGUUUUCCAAGGCGGUGGUGCUCGGCGUCGUGUACGCCUCGGCGAUCGGCGGGAUCGCCACGCUGACGGGCACGGGCGUGAACAUCAUCCUGGUGGGGAUGUGGUCCACCUACUUCCCGGAGCAGCGCCCCAUCACCUUCAGCUCCUGGAUGUCCUUCGGGCUCCCCAUUUCACUGGUCCUGUUCGUGGCGCUCUGGGCCACGCUCUGCCUGAUGUACUGCUCCAAGAACACCGGGAGGGCGCUCUCCGCAUACCUCGACAGGAGCCACCUCAGAAGGGAGCUCGGCUUGCUGGGUAGGUUCUGCCUCCUUGCUUCCGUUGACUGUCGAGAGGAAUGGCAAGCAUGUUCAUUAAUGAUCUGACCAAUGCCGAAUGCGCAGCCUGGAAUAUUCUGAAAUAUAGACACGUUUUAGUUUUGGUUAUUUCUUUGACAGUUACUGAAGCCUUAUUGUAGUACUGAUUAUUGCCAUCGGAUUUUCUGACGGGGUCUCCAUCUUGAUUUGUGACAGGUCCGAUGGCAUUUGCAGAGAAGAUGGUUUUGGCCGUCUUUGGGGUAAGCCGUGCGUUAAUAUUUCUGUCCCAAUUCUUGUUCUGGUCAAUUUCUAUCUGAACCUGUAAACUCUAAUAUUGGUUUCUACAAGAGAAUUCAAAGGAUCAAUGGCUGAUUCUUGCAGGGUCUCAUUGUUCUAUGGAUGACCAGGAGUCUGACAGACGACAUCCCUGGGUGGGCAGUCCUAUUCGAUGGCAAAGUUGGGGAUGGAACCGUCACCGUAAGUGGAAAAAUAAAGAAAAUUCCAAAUUACUCCCCUAAAGUAUAAUCAAAAUUUGGAUAACCCCUAAAAUAUUUCUUGCUUUAGUUUACACCCUAAACUAUGCCAUUUGGUUUAAUUUACCCCUUAACACAAUUAAUCUUUUUUAUUUCUCCAUGCACAAGUCAAUUUUUAAGUUUAAAUUUUGCAAGAUGAUAGCAGACAACAUAAGGCAUGUUAAAAAAUAUAUCAUAAAUUUUUCAUCACUAUUUUGAUAGGGUAGGAUAUUUAAUAAUAAAAUUUAACGUUGAGAUACAAAAUUAUAUAAAAACUAAUGAUAAAAAAUUCAAAAAAUAUUUUUUUAAUAUAGAUUAUGACGUUCACUACCACCCUGCAAAGUCUCAAAUUAAAAUUCAACUUGUGUAUGGAGAAACAAAAAUGACAAAUUGUAUUAUGGGUAAGUUGAACCAAAUAGUAUAGUUUAGAGGGUAAAUUGAACCAAAACAUAGUUUAGGGGUUAUAUAGACUGGAAGGGAGUAAUUUGGACUUUUUCUAGUUAAAAAAUCCAGAUUAUUUUUUCAGACCUUCACCAGAUGGCAACUUGCAAAAUAAUGCAUGUGUGCAGAUCA